GCAGUCGAGGGGCAUCAGGGAUUAGCAAUAAUCCGCUGGCGACCGGCGCACGGGUGAGUAACACGUAUUCAACCUUCCGAUAACUCGGGGAUAGCCUUUCGAAAGAAAGAUUAAUACUCGAUAGUAUAUUUUCUUCGCAUGUUGAAAAUAUUAAAGAAUUUCGGUUAUCGAUGGGAAUGCGUUCCAUUAGGCAGUUGGCGGGGUAACGGCCCACCAAACCUACGAUGGAUAGGGGUUCUGAGAGGAAGGUCCCCCACAUUGGAACUGAGACACGGUCCAAACUCCUACGGGAGGCAGCAGUGAGGAAUAUUGGUCAAUGGACGCAAGUCUGAACCAGCCAAGUAGCGUGAAGGAUGACUGCCCUAUGGGUUGUAAACUUCUUUUAUAUGGGAAUAAAGUGCGCCACGUGUGGUGUUUUGUAUGUACCAUUAUGAAUAAGCAUCGGCUAACUCCGUGCCAGCAGCCGCGGUAAUACGGAGGAUGCGAGCGUUAUCCGGAUUUAUUGGGUUUAAAGGGAGCGUAGGUGGGCUGGUAAGUCAGCUGUGAAAGUUUGCGGCUCAACCGUAAAAUUGCAGUUGAUACUGUCAGUCUUGAGUACAGUAGAGGUUAGCGGAAUUCGUGGUGUAGCGGUGAAAUGCUUAGAUAUCACGAAGAACUCCAAUUGCGAAGGCAGCUGACUAGACUGUUACUGACACUGAUGCUCGAAAGUGUGGGUAUCAAACAGGAUUAGAUACCCUGGUAGUCCACACAGUAAACGAUGAAUACUCGCUGUUUGCGAUAUAC
rnacentral:rRNA from 1 species